CAAUAAUAAUCAGCUCUACUUUAAGAGUGGACCGAACCACUCGUGUUUCCAUUCUCUCCCCCCUCUUUUUCUACUUCCGAUCUAUUCUUAUUUCGGCCUCCCCUGACUACUAGUUUUUCUUUUGUAUCAUUCGCUUUUAGUCGACAACGAGCCCCAGUGGCCCUAUUUUGACAGUCAAUUAAAUAUAGUGCAUCACGUGUGCAAAUAGUAGGAGGGAAACUUCGUUUCCAUACGUUCGCACACGGAUUUUCAAAGGUCCAAUUUAAAUAUUUCCCUUCUAGAUUUUCGGCUGGAUAAUUUCCGUAUUGCUCCAACAUGACUAUUCCCGAAAGUGAUUCAAUUCGACAACGCUCAUCUCAAGACGAUACGAAUAAAAAUCGUACAGAAUCUUUAUCAAAAGACGAUCAUGGACAUAGUAGUUCGACCAACAGUAUUAAUGACAGUAGCUUAACCGAUGCCGUGUCAAACAUUAAAGAUGAACUGCAAAUGAAUCGACGGGUGGGGCUCUUCAGCGGCGUUGCUCUCGUCGUGGGAACAAUGAUCGGCUCCGGUAUCUUCGUGUCGCCAGGAAAUCUUCUUGGGAAUGCAGGGUCUCCAGGUCUUUGCCUCGUCCUCUGGGGUGUCUGUGGUGUAUAUUCUUUACUAGGUGCCAUAUCUUAUUGCGAGAUCGGAACGCUGAUACCAAAAUCUGGCGGCGAGUAUAUUUACUUUCUGGAAGCCUUCGGACACACGCACAAGUUCUUCGGCCCGAUCUUGGCUUUCAUAUUUGCGUGGACUGUGGUUUUUCUAUUGAAACCAUCUUCACUCGCAAUUUUAUCACUUUCGUUCGCCAAAUAUUUGACUUCUCCAAUUCUGACGGCAGUAGAUUUCUGCACUGAUGAUACCUACCUCUAUUACGUGAUAAAUCGACUAGUGGCCUCAUUAUGCAUAGGUCUGAUUACAUUUGUAAACUGUUACUCUGUAACAGCUGCAACGAGGGUGCAAAACAUUUUCACGGUGGCGAAACUGACGGCCAUCGCCAUUGUCAUUGGCGGAGGGUUGUAUUAUCUCGGUUUAGGAUACACUGAGAACCUUGAAAUCGGAUUCGAAGGGUCAGCCUCGUCUUUUGGACAAAUAGUGACGGCCUUCUACGGCGGCCUUUGGGCUUACGAUGGAUGGAAUAAUUUAAAUUUCAUCACCGAAGAACUACAGAAUCCAUACAGGAAUCUGCCGCUGGCCAUUAUUAUUGCUCUUCCCUUGACCACCGUUUGCUAUGUACUCAUCAAUGUGUCAUAUUUAACCGUUUUGACACCCCAAGAAAUCAUUUCUUCUAAUGCGGUAGCUGUGGAUUGGGGCAAUGCAGUCCUGGGUCCUGCCAGUUUCUUGAUUCCACUUGGAGUGGUAAUGUCAGUGUUUGGUACUGCCAACGGCUCCAUGUUUACCGCAGGAAGGAUUUCACACGUAGCUGGAAGGGAAGGACACGCUCCCGACUUUUUAUCCUACAUCCACAUUGAGAAGAAAACACCUGUAGCUCCGAUUUUAUUGAACAGUCUACUAGGAAUACUCAUGAUUAUCCCGGGGGACAUUGGAACACUGAUUGAUUUUUUCGGCUUUACGGCUUCAAUCUUCUACUGUGCCGCAAUGGUGGCGUUGAUAGUAAUGCGAUUCACGAAAAAGAACGAGCAUAGACCCAUUAAGGUACCUAUCAUCAUCCCGAUUAUUGUUAUGUUGGUUUCCGCUAUUCUAGUCGUCGUGCCCAUCGCUGCAGCCCCGCAAGUGCAAUACUUUUAUGCGCUGUGUUUCAUCUUAGCCGGCCUUAUUUUCUACGUACCUUUUGUUUAUUACAAGAAAACGGUACCGGGAAUGAAAUCGUUUACUAUUGUAUGCCAGAAAGCGCUUCAGAUCGCCCCUACAACAGGCCACUAAAUCAAACGACAAAAAUCAAGGAAAGCUUUUCUAUGAAAAACAGCGAGAAUUGUUUUUAUUGAAGCCGUAGUUUCAUUUUGUUUCCAAAGCAGCAGCUCGGAUCCUGUUUAUUUGUAGGGUGACUACAGUAACGUGUUAGGUCCACGUCACCGUUUAAAUGGCAAUAAAAAGAAUUGGCAUUAGAA
rnacentral:misc_RNA from 1 species